rnacentral:piRNA from 1 species
AUAUAGUUCAAUGUAGACUAGCAUGCC